rnacentral:rRNA from 1 species
CCCUACGGGGGGCAGCAGUGAGGAAUAUUGGUCAAUGGGAGAGAUCCUGAACCAGCCAAGCCGCGUGAGGGAAGACGGCCCUAUGGGUUGUAAACCUCUUUUGUCGGAGAACAAAACCCGGGACGUGUCCCGGACUGCGUGUAUCCGAAGAAAAAGCAUCGGCUAACUCCGUGCCAGCAGCCGCGGUAAUACGGAGGAUGCGAGCGUUAUCCGGAUUUAUUGGGUUUAAAGGGUGCGCAGGCGGGAGAUCAAGUCAGCGGUAAAAUGUCGGGGCUCAACCCCGGCCGGCCGUUGAAACUGGUUUU